rnacentral:rRNA from 1 species
UUAAGCGACUAAGCGUACACGGUGGAUGCCUAGGCAGUCAGAGGCGAUGAAGGGCGUGCUAAUCUGCGAAAAGCGUCGGUAAGGUGAUAUGAACCGUUAUAACCGACGAUACCCGAAUGGGGAAACCCAGUGCAAUUCGUUGCACUAUUGCAUGGUGAAUACAUAGCCAUGCAAGGCGAACCGGGGGAACUGAAACAUCUAAGUACCCCGAGGAAAAGAAAUCAACCGAGAUUCCCCCAGUAGCGGCGAGCGAACGGGGAGGAGCCCAGAGUCUGAAUCAGUUUGUGUGUUAGUGGAAGCGUCUGGAAAGUCGCAGGGUACAGGGUGAUACUCCCGUACACAAAAACACACUUGCUGUGAACUCGAUGAGUAGGGCGGGACACGUGACAUCCUGUCUGAAUAUGGGGGGACCAUCCUCCAAGGCUAAAUACUCCUGACUGACCGAUAGUGAACCAGUACCGUGAGGGAAAGGCGAAAAGAACCCCGGCGAGGGAGUGAAAUAGAACCUGAAACCGUGUACGUACAAGCAGUGGGAGCCUACUUUGUUGGGUGACUGCGUACCUUUUGUAUAAUGGGUCAGCGACUUAUAUUUUGUAGCAAGGUUAACCGAAUAGGGGAGCCGUAGGGAAACCGAGUCUUAACUGGGCGUCUAGUUGCAAGGUAUAGACCCGAAACCCGGUGAUCUAGCCAUGGGCAGGUUGAAGGUUGGGUAACACUAACUGGAGGACCGAACCGACUAAUGUUGAAAAAUUAGCGGAUGACUUGUGGCUGGGGGUGAAAGGCCAAUCAAACCGGGAGAUAGCUGGUUCUCCCCGAAAGCUAUUUAGGUAGCGCCUCGUGAACUCAUCUUCGGGGGUAGAGCACUGUUUCGGCUAGGGGGCCAUCCCGGCUUACCAAACCGAUGCAAACUCCGAAUACCGAAGAAUGUUAUCACGGGAGACACACGGCGGGUGCUAACGUCCGUCGUGAAGAGGGAAACAACCCAGACCGCCAGCUAAGGUCCCAAAGUCAUGGUUAAGUGGGAAACGAUGUGGGAAGGCAUAGACAGCCAGGAUGUUGGCUUAGAAGCAGCCAUCAUUUAAAGAAAGCGUAAUAGCUCACUGGUCGAGUCGGCCUGCGCGGAAGAUGUAACGGGGCUAAACCAUGCACCGAAGCUGCGGCAGCGACGCUUAGGCGUUGUUGGGUAGGGGAGCGUUCUGUAAGCCGUUGAAGGUGACCUGUGAGGGUUGCUGGAGGUAUCAGAAGUGCGAAUGCUGACAUAAGUAACGAUAAUGCGGGUGAAAAACCCGCACGCCGGAAGACCAAGGGUUCCUGUCCAACGUUAAUCGGGGCAGGGUGAGUCGACCCCUAAGGCGAGGCUGAAAAGCGUAGUCGAUGGGAAACAGGUUAAUAUUCCUGUACUUGGUGUUACUGCGAAGGGGGGACGGAGAAGGCUAGGCUAGCCGGGCGACGGUUGUCCCGGUUUAAGCAUGUAGGCGGAGUGACUUGGUAAAUCCGGUUGCUUAUCAACGCUGAGGUGUGAUGACGAGUCACUACGGUGAUGAAGUAGUUGAUGCCAAGCUUCCAGGAAAAGCCUCUAAGCAUCAGGUAACAUUAAAUCGUACCCCAAACCGACACAGGUGGUCAGGUAGAGAAUACUCAGGCGCUUGAGAGAACUCGGGUGAAGGAACUAGGCAAAAUGGUGCCGUAACUUCGGGAGAAGGCACGCUGGCAUUAGGUAAAGAGAUUUGCUCUCGGAGCUGAAGCCAGUCGCAGAUACCAGCUGGCUGCAACUGUUUAAUAAAAACACAGCACUGUGCAAACACGAAAGUGGACGUAUACGGUGUGACGCCUGCCCGGUGCUGGAAGGUUAAUUGAUGGGGUCAGCCGCAAGGCGAAGCUCUUGAUCGAAGCCCCAGUAAACGGCGGCCGUAACUAUAACGGUCCUAAGGUAGCGAAAUUCCUUGUCGGGUAAGUUCCGACCUGCACGAAUGGCGUAAUGAUGGCCAGGCUGUCUCCACCCGAGACUCAGUGAAAUUGAACUCGCUGUGAAGAUGCAGUGUACCCGCGGCAAGACGGAAAGACCCCGUGAACCUUUACUAUAGCUUGACACUGAACAUUGAGCCUUGAUGUGUAGGAUAGGUGGGAGGCAUUGAAGUGUGGACGCCAGUCUGCAUGGAGCCAACCUUGAAAUACCACCCUUUAAUGUUUGAUGUUCUAACUCGGCCCCGUAAUCCGGGGUGAGGACAGUGUCUGGUGGGUAGUUUGACUGGGGCGGUCUCCUCCCAAAGAGUAACGGAGGAGCACGAAGGUUAGCUAAUCACGGUCGGACAUCGUGAGGUUAGUGCAAAGGCAUAAGCUAGCUUGACUGCGAGAGUGACGGCUCGAGCAGGUACGAAAGUAGGUCUUAGUGAUCCGGUGGUUCUGAAUGGAAGGGCCAUCGCUCAACGGAUAAAAGGUACUCCGGGGAUAACAGGCUGAUACCGCCCAAGAGUUCAUAUCGACGGCGGUGUUUGGCACCUCGAUGUCGGCUCAUCACAUCCUGGGGCUGAAGUAGGUCCCAAGGGUAUGGCUGUUCGCCAUUUAAAGUGGUACGCGAGCUGGGUUUAGAACGUCGUGAGACAGUUCGGUCCCUAUCUGCCGUGGGCGUUGGAAGAUUGAGAGGGGCUGCUCCUAGUACGAGAGGACCGGAGUGGACGAAUCACUGGUGUUCGGGUUGUCAUGCCAAUGGCAUUGCCCGGUAGCUAAAUUCGGAAGAGAUAACCGCUGAAAGCAUCUAAGCGGGAAACUUGCCUCGAGAUGAGUCUUCCCUGGGGCUUUAAGCCCCCUGAAGGAACGUUAAAGACUAUGACGUUGAUAGGCUGGGUGUGUAAGUGCAGCGAUGCAUUGAGCUAACCAGUACUAAUGAUCCGUGAGGCUUAACCUU